UUGUUAGGUUAAAAUAACACCUUACCAUUGGAUUUCCUUUUGACCAUGUUAAAGCUAUUUCAGUUUUUAAUAUUUUUCUGCUUUCUUUUUAAUUGAGGUUUCUCUAUGGAUUGUUAGUCAGUAUUGUUGGGUUUGUUUGCUUCCUGUUGGUGUUUCGUAUGAUUUUCUGUAGAUUUAUAGACAGUAACUGGAUUGAUAAAUGCCUAUGGACGUGGCAGGGAAGGAUGGCGGGCUAACAACAGGUCACUGUGAAUUGGAAUAUACUCAGUGGAAGAGAGUAAAAGAAAUCCUUGUUUUGUGAGCUAACAUGUGGUCUACCCUAGAAAAUGUCAGCAGAAAAAGUGAGGCGUCUACUCCUAUAAAGAUUGACAGCCUUGGAAAACCACAGGGGAAGGUCUACGCUGUCCUAUUGGGUUGCUGUGAGUUAGAAUCCACUUGAUGGCAGCAAGAGUGAGUGAGAGAGAGUGUUCCAUGUGUAAUUGAGAAGAAUGUGUGUUCUGUUGUUAGGGUUGGGUAGUGUUUUUGUCUAUGUCUGUUAAAUCUAUUGGCUAAUAGUGUUAUUCAAAUCUUUCCAUUUCCUUAUUGAUCUGGUUGUCCUAUUAUUAAAAGCCAGGUGUUGCUAAGUCUCCAUGUAUUCUUGUGAAACUAUUUUGCUGUUCAAGUCUAUUCCUUGAUGAUGCAUCUAUUUCAGGGCUCUGCUGUUAGGGAAAGGAGCCCUGGUGGCACAGCGGGUCAAGCAUUGGACUGUGAACUUCGUCAGCAGUUGAAACCCACCAUCUACUCCGAGGGAGAAAGCUGAGGCUGAAGACUGGCUGUCUCAGGAACCCUAAGGAGCAGUUCUGUCUUGUAAAGUCAUGAUGAGUAAGAAUCAGCUUUAUGCCAGUGGGUUUGAGUUCUGGUUUAUUUGUUAGGGGUGCUGAAUGAAAGCUUUUAUUAAU